rnacentral:rRNA from 1 species
GUUCGAGCGCGAAGCACUUCGGUGUGAGUAGAGCGGCGGACGGGUGAGUAACGCGUAAGAAUCUACCUAGUAGUGGGGGACAACUCGGGGAAACUCGAGCUAAUACCGCAUACGCCCUACGGGGGAAAGCGGGGGACCUUCGGGCCUCGUGCUAUUAGAUGAGCUUGCGUUGGAUUAGCUUGUUGGUGGGGUAAUGGCCCACCAAGGCGACGAUCCAUAGCUGGUCUGAGAGGAUGAUCAGCCACACCGGGACUGAGACACGGCCCGGACUCCUACGGGAGGCAGCAGUGGGGAAUAUUGCGCAAUGGGCGAAAGCCUGACGCAGCCAUGCCGCGUGUGUGAAGAAGGCCCUAGGGUUGUAAAGCACUUUCAAUUGGGAGGAAAAGCUAACGACUAAUACUCGUUAGCCCUGACGUUACCUUUAGAAGAAGCACCGGCUAACUCCGUGCCAGCAGCCGCGGUAAUACGGAGGGUGCAAGCGUUAAUCGGAAUUACUGGGCGUAAAGCGCGCGUAGGCGGCUUUUUAAGUCGGAUGUGAAAGCCCCGGGCUCAACCUGGGAACUGCACCCGAUACUGGAAGGCUAGAGUGCGAGAGAGGGAGGUAGAAUUCCAUGUGUAGCGGUGAAAUGCGUAGAUAUAUGGAGGAAUACCAGUGGCGAAGGCGGCCUCCUGGCUCGACACUGACGCUGAGGUGCGA